rnacentral:lncRNA from 1 species
AUGGUCUCUGAACACUUUUCUCUCCAGAGUCCACACCGUCUGCUUUUCCCUUGCUCUUUUUCUUCCACAUCGGUGGAUUAUUGUGGUAGUUAUCCUUCUUAGAUCUGGCAUUUGCUUAAACCAUAUAAUAAAAUCAAACACAUCAAAAAAUCAAAAAGUGAAAUAUUAAUUGGUAACUGACCUCACUACCUUUUUAUUCGCUGGAAUCAAAAUUGGUUGUUAAACCGAGUCACUCGAUGAACUUUCUUAAUCUAAAAUCUAUUGUUUUUAUCGGACCAUUCUCUUGGACUUUCGGGUAACUAUUUGAUGUUGUCACUGAAGCUUCAGUUUUUGCGGGCAAGAUUUUACUAAAGAAUAAUUGAGUAAAAGUCCUUACGUAAAACUAUUGUGCUAUAGGUGUUUGAUAAGUUUCUUUAAAGAAACAGAUUUUUUCAUUGAACUUGCAGGUUUCUUUUCUGAGCUUGAGUUCUGUUUGAUCAUGGCUAUAUGGUUUACCGGCUCAACACAGAAAAGCAAGUAGGCUGAUUUGGUAAGAUAUUUUUUCGCAACUUACUACAUUCAUGUUUUCAAUUUCCAAUAGAUCUGGUAAUCUAUUUGCUAUAGAUUUUUCAUGUUUUCUUAUUUAGAUAUAAGAAUUUGAUAGCAUCAGAUUCGUUUUAACUUCACACUGGACUCAAGUGACAUGUUAUAAGCUAAAUCCAGUAAAAUGUGAGAAUAAUUGUCAAGAUGAACAUUUAUCAUGAAAAAAAGAUAAGUUCGAUAAUCGUUUGCUCUCCAUCAAAAUAUCAGACAUUGUGAAAACAUAUUGUAAUUUAGCGGCAUAUGACUGUAUACUUUCUUUAGAUUGAUUACUCAGCUAAAAUUAGUAGAAGUUAACCAAAGAGAUUAACUGCAAACAAGACAGAAACCUGCUAAAAUUAUUAUAGCUCACAUAGUCAUCUGUAUCAGAAAUGAAUGAAAGAAUAUUUUUAAAUCAGGAACGAUUGAAAGAAAUUCUCAAAAAAGGAUGUAGUUGUUGAUAAUGGAAGUAGGCUUGCUAAAUAAUUAAAACAUGAUUUAAAUAUGCUCACUUGGGAUCAGCUGCUCAUUUAAUACUCGAAAAUUAUUUGUGAAAUGAGCAAUCCAUGUCUAAACUUGCUAACAAGUAGAUAAGUUGAGUUUGUGGAACUAAUUAUCAGGCUUGUUUUGCUUCAAUAUAGGGUUCAUAUUUUCAGUUAGUCCAUUUGUGGCAAUUCCAGAAAAAAUUUAAAGAAUUUCUGCAUCUUUAGAUUAGCGGUCAACUUAAGAGUUUUUCCAAAAUCCUUUAGAAGUGAACCUCUUUUUGAUUAGUGAAAUAAGUAUUAGAUCUGGUUCCUAGAUAGGAACUUACUGAGUACCAAAUCAGUACUAGAAUAUCUUUUGUUUUAUGUUGAUCUCAGGUACCUGCUGAAAAUAAUUUAUGCUUUUGAGUGAAAAUUAGUAGGAUAACUAAGAUAUGGGCAAAGUAGAAAGUUAUAUUUCGCGUAUUCUUUUAGUUUCCCAGCUUUUUCUAAAUUGCUAUAUAUUACGCUUCAUUUUUGGCCAGGAUUUUUCAACAUUGUGGCUGUUCAUGCAAGUAAUUCCGUUUAUUCUUCUUUUCUGUCCAUUUGUUUGCUGCAAUUUUUUGUAACUCAGAGGCACUCUGUGAUGUAUCUUCAAUUUAUGAGUCGUGUCUCUUUCAGGUUAUGCCUACGGAUACAAGUUGUAUUUAUUUUUCCUACUUUUUUUUCUUGCCUCUUUCCUUAUUUCUUUCUCAAGAACAGGGGAUGGUCCUGUCCAGUGAUUUCAACUACUUCAUGGUUUAGAAUUGCAAGGUUACAAAGUAAUAUCUAAAUAUUGGCUGCACUCAUGGCAUACGACAUUUCUCUAGGUUUUUGAGCAUAUUAGAUAAGUAAGUCAGGUAACUCACCAAUAUCUCAAUAGGUCUGAAAACCUUGUGGUGGUAAAGAAUGUCACGCUUUUGAUAUAUCUAUAUGUUUUUUCUUUAUAUUCUGAGUUUGUUAUUACAAAAAAAUAUUGCUAUAGGUUACAAGUAGCAUAAAAAACUUGGAAAAACAAGCAGCGCGACUAUUUCAAGAUUUAACCACGUACUCCUAUUCUUUUUAGCCGUGAUAGCUUUUACAUUGCUUCUCAAAUUUCUUUGACCUUUUUGCAAGUAAAUAACAGCCUCCGGAAAGUGUAACUUUGCAUAAUAUAGCUAUGUGAACAUAUUAACGUCAUUUCCUGCACUAUCUUCGCUUCUUUCAACUACUUCUCAUAUUCUAGCAUUGUAACAUUUUUAGUGCAUUUAAAUUUCAUGGUAUUUUUUUUAAAUUACACUAUAAAGUUUUAAUUCCCCCAUUUGUUUACUGAGGACUUCCCUUUGAGUUUUUAUUUUGCAAAAUCAAGUUCAGAGCUGAAUCUUAAGGCAAGUUUGACUAAAACUUUAUGCUUGAGCCAUCCAUUUGUUGACUCCAGAUGCAAUUUGCUUCUUUUUAAGUUUUUUUAUAAUUUUUCAUCAACUUUAGAAGAAGACAGCUAUUUUCGUGUAAACAAAAAUUAUUCUAAGAAUUUACAUUUGGUAAAAUCAUAAAGCUAAAAUGUUAAAUAUGUUCAUUAGACAUUGUCAUAUGUUAAACUUUACCUAAAGAUAGCAACAUAGAAAUUUUCUUUAUGUUCCGGACUUUUUGAUGAGCUUUUAUUGUGGGUCUACUGGCUUUUUUAUCUUUUCAGUUCACGAGAAGUUUUGUUCACACUUGGUACUUGGUAAUGAAAAUUAGAUUCUGCAGGUUUCUUAAUCAGCUUAACUGCAUGAACUCAUGUUGGUUCAGACCUCUUUCUGCAUAUGUGUAUGUUUGUGCUCUCUCAUCUUAUUUCUGUUAUGUUGCUGUUUUUCAUGCGAGAAGAGUUCAUCGCUGAAGCCUCAUGUCUCUGGGAUGUGUAGUCCAGCAGUAUAAUUAAACUGACUGUUCACUAAUUUGUAUACUCAGAUAAAUCCUUAUUAUUAACACAAAUAUUUUUAUUUCUUGAACUCUGCCCACCAGUCCUUUAAUUCGCGGUGAAACAAAGGAGAAGAGGCUCCCAAAUUGGAUUGCUAUUUUUGGUGAAUUGAAGUUGGUAUUGUAAGAUAUAUGGAUUUAUAUCUAGAUAUAUGGACUUAUAUCUACACACAUAUGAA